AACGAACGCUGGCGGCAUGCCUAACACAUGCAAGUCGAACGAGCCCUUCGGGUCUAGUGGCGCACGGCUGUGUCACGCGUCGGAAGCUGCCCUUAGGUUCGGAAUAACUCCCCGACAGGGGUGCUAAUGCCGGAUAAUGUCUACGACCCAAGGAUUUAUCGACAUUGGUUGUGCCCGCGUUGGAUUCGCUAGUGCGUAGGGUAAUAGCUUACCAAGGCGACGAUCCAUAGCUGGUCUGAGAGAAUGAUCAGCGACACUGAGACUGGGACACGGCCCAGAAUCCUACGGGAGGCAGCAGUGGGGAAUGUUGGACAACGGGGGAAGUCCUGAUCCAGUAAGGCCGGGUGAGUUAUGUAGGCCUUAGGGAUGUAAAGCGCUUUUACCCGGGAUGGUAAUGACAGUACCGAGUGAAUAAGCUCCGGCUAACUCCGUG
rnacentral:rRNA from 1 species